CAUUGACGCCGCGUGAGGGAUGAAGGCCUUCGGGUUGUAAACCUCUUUCAGCAGGGAAUAAGCGAAAGUGAAGGUACCUGCAGAAGAAGCACCGGCUAACUAUGUGCCAGCAGCCGCGGUAAUACAUAGGGUGCAAGCGUUGUCCGGAAUUAUUGGGCGUAAAGAGCUCGUAGGUGGUCGAUCACGUCGGAUGUGAAAAUCUGAGGCUUAACCUCAGACCUGCAUUCGAUACGGGUUGACUAGAGUGUGGUAGGGGAGACUGGAAUUCCUGGUGUAGCGGUGGAAUGCGCAGAUAUCAGGAGGAACACCGAUGGCGAAGGCAGGUCUCUGGGCCAUUACUGACACUGAGGAGCGAAAGUGUGGGGAGCGAACAGGAUUAGAUACCCUGGUAGUCCACACCGUAAACGGUGGGCGCUAGUUGUGGGAACCUUCCACGGUUUCUGCGACGCAGCUAACGCAUUAAGCGCCCCGCCUGGGGAGUACGGUCGCAAGACUAAAACUCAAAGAAAUUGACGGGGCCCCGCACAAGCAGCGGAGCAUGCGGCUUAAUUCGACGCAACGCGAAGAA
rnacentral:rRNA from 1 species